AGCAAUGAUUGUGCCUUCAAUCCCUCCACUUUCACCUGUCAAAAAGCUUAAAAAGUUUGUAUGUGAUUGAAAAUGGUCUACAUCAAAUAAAAAAUAAAAAAUAAAAUAAGCAAGCACCCAUCUGCCUAAAGUUUCUAUGUGAACAUUGGCUCUCCUGCAUCUGCUGCUGACGUGGCAACCCCUGGCUAAUCCUAACCUCUCUGCCUUCCAGAUGGAAAUUCUGGCCCAACUCUGGUUGGCUUGAACUUGAUGCAAGGUCAGUUCAGAGGACAAAAGACAAUGUGCCACGAACGCCCUGUCCCCUGCCCCGCUGACACUGCGGCUCGUCUCUGUCUGGGUCUUGCCAGCCAAGUGUCACGGGAACACGUUGGGACAAUGACCAACACCGUAUGCUGGUAAGUGGAUCUAAAUAUAUUUUUGUUCAACAAGCAGUGAUCUGACCUGGCCAGGAAGGUAGGAAAGACAAAGAUUCCACUGUGUGGCCCCUGGGACGCAGGAGCGCACGUCCAGGGGAA
rnacentral:lncRNA from 1 species